rnacentral:rRNA from 1 species
UACGGAGGGUGCAAGCGUUGUCCGGAAUCACUGGGCGUAAAGGGCGCGUAGGCGGCCUGGUAAGUAGGGGGUGAAAUCCUGCGGCUUAACCGCAGGGCUGCCUUCUAAACUGUCAGGCUUGAGCACGGUAGAGGCAGAUGGAAUUCCCGGUGUAGCGGUGGAAUGCGUAGAGAUCGGGAAGAACAUCAGUGGCGAAGGCGGUCUGCUGGGCCGUUGCUGACGCUGAUGCGCGAAAGCGUGGGGAGCGAUCCGG